rnacentral:rRNA from 1 species
CCUGGCUCAGAUUGAACGCUGGCGGCAGGCUUAACACAUGCAAGUCGAGCGGUAGCACAGGGGAGCUUGCUCCCUGGGUGACGAGCGGCGGACGGGUGAGUAAUGUCUGGGAAACUGCCUGAUGGAGGGGGAUAACUACUGGAAACGGUAGCUAAUACCGCAUAACGUCGCAAGACCAAAGAGGGGGACCUUCGGGCCUCUUGCCAUCAGAUGUGCCCAGAUGGGAUUAGCUAGUAGGUGGGGUAAUGGCUCACCUAGGCGACGAUCCCUAGCUGGUCUGAGAGGAUGACCAGCCACACUGGAACUGAGACACGGUCCAGACUCCUACGGGAGGCAGCAGUGGGGAAUAUUGCACAAUGGGCGCAAGCCUGAUGCAGCCAUGCCGCGUGUGUGAAGAAGGCCUUCGGAUUGUAAAGCACUUUCAGCGAGGAGGAAGGUGGUGAGCUUAAUACGUUCAUCAAUGACG